GAUGAACGCUGGCGGCGUGCCUAAUACAUGCAAGUCGAGCGAACGGACGAGAAGCUUGCUUCUCUGAUGUUAGCGGCGGACGGGUGAGUAACACGUGGAUAACCUACCUAUAAGACUGGGAUAACUUCGGGAAACCGUAGCUAAUACCGGAUAAUAUUUUGAACCGCAUGGUUCAAAAGUGAAAGACGGUCUUGCUGUCACUUAUAGAUGGAUCCGCGCUGCAUUAGCUAGUUGGUAAGGUAACGGCUUACCAAGGCAACGAUGCAUAGCCGACCUGAGAGGGUGAUCGGCCACACUGGAACUGAGACACGCUCCAGACUCCUACGGGAGGCAGCAGUAGGGAAUGUUCCGCAAUGGGCGAAAGCCUGACGGAGCAACGACGCGUGAGUGAUGAAGGUCUUCGGAUCGUAAAACUCUGUUAUUAGUGAAGAACAUAUGUGUAAGUAACUGUGCACAUCUUGACGGUACCUAAUCAGAAAGCCACGGCUAACUACGUG
rnacentral:rRNA from 1 species